CACAGAGACCAAAAGAUGAGUUCCCGGGGCAGAAUUUCUGCUGCUCUGACUGCUGUGAAAUUCUUCGAUGCCAGACACAGACCCCAUAUUGGACUGUAUAAGACAAAACUGGUGGGGUUGACCACUUCAGAGUUUGGAGUCUUAAGAGUGGAACUAGAAAUCAGUGAUUAAAAGAUGAGAAAAAUCCCUUUGUUCUUGAACUGAUAUGGAUGUGCUUCAUAUUAUUAUAGUGGAUCAGCAUGUGCCAGAAGAAGGACGACAUCUUUAAACCUCAAAACUUGUGUAAGACAUCCAGGGUUGUACGUGGACCCACUCUGAUUUUCACAGAAGGAGGAUACUCCACAGAAACAUGAGUGCCUUGCGUCUGUAUUAGGACUGUAUGACUUGGUCUCUGGAUGGCUUUUAUCUAGGAAGUCAAGGACUUAUGAAUGAUUGAUAAAUGCUGCUAAUAGCUUAAAGUUGUUUUGCAUUCUUUCGAACUAAAACAGACUGUGACCAGCGCCUCUCCAUUGCCUGAGGCAAUUUCCCUGGAGAUUAUAUGCUGUGCUUAGUCGCUCAGUCAUGCCUGACUCUCUGCAAUCCCAUGGAUGGUAGCUCACCAGACUUCUCUGUCCAUGCGGAUUCUCCAGUCAAGAAUACUGGAGUGGGUUGCCAUGCCCUCUUCUAGGGGAUCUUCCCAAUCCAGAGAUCAAACCCAGGUUUCCAGCAUUGCAGGCGGAUUCUUUACAGUCUGAGCUAUCAGGGAAGCCCAAGAAUACUGGAGUGGGUAGCCUUCUCCAGGGGAUCCCUUCUCCAGGGAAUCUUCCCAACCCAGGAAUCGAACCGGGAUCUCCUCCAAUGCAGGCAGAUUCUUUAC
ensembl:lncRNA